GUUGGUGAACCAGCGGAGGGAUCAUUACAAGAAGCCGAAAGGCUACUUAAAACCAUCGCGAACUUAUCCAAGUUGCUUCGGCGGCGCGGUACCCCUCACAGGGCGCCGCAGCCUCGCCUCUCAGGAGGUAUGGGGCACCCGCCGGAGGUACGAAACUCUGUAUUAUAGUGGUAUCUCUGAGUAAAAAACAAAUAAGUUAAAACUUUCAACAACGGAUCUCUUGGUUCUG
rnacentral:misc_RNA from 1 species